ensembl:snRNA U6 U6 spliceosomal RNA
GUGCUCUUUUCGGCAACACAUAUACUAAAAUUGGAAAAAUACAGAGAAGAUUAGCAUGGCCCCUGGGCAAGGAAAGAAAAGAUAAUAGAUAUAGACAGUUAUA